GUCCGGGGUGCCCAAACUGGGUGCUGGAGGACCACUGUCCUGCAGAGUUUAGCUCCAACCCUAAUUAAACACACCUGAACCAGCUUAUCAAGCUCUAACUACGCAUUCUAGAAACUUCCAGGCAGGUAUGUUGAGACAAGUUGGAGCUAAGCUCUGCAGGACACCGAGUUUGGACACCCCUGGUGAGCUAACUACACCCCAAAGGCUGUUUUAAGAGCCACAGCACUGAGCAUCUUUGGCUUUGAGCCAAAUACACCCCAAAACGCUCUUUUAAGGGCCACCUAAUCACUGCAACUUAGGCUUUAUCAGCCGUCAAUGGUUAUGGAGGCCAGCCAAGACCAACUGGGAUGCUAUUUG